UACAGGGGGCUCGAGCGUUACGCGGAAUCACUGGGCUUAAAGGGUGCGUAGGUGGCUCGCAAAGCAUUACGUGAAAGCCCCGGGCUCAACCUGGGAACCGCGCUUGAGACUGGCACGCUCGAGUUCGGGAGAGGAUGGUGGAAUUCCCAGUGUAGAGGUGAAAUUCGUAGAUAUUGGGAAGAACACCGAUGGCGAAGGCAGCCAUCUGGACCGACACUGACGCUGAGGCGCGAAAGCGUGGGGAGCAAACAGG
rnacentral:rRNA from 1 species